rnacentral:rRNA from 1 species
GAUGAACGCUGGCGGCGUGGAUAAGGCAUGCAAGUCAAACGGUCCAUGUACUUGUAUAUGGACAGUGGCAAACGGGGUAGUAACAGGUAGGAACAUACCCAUGAGUCGUGAAUAAUUGCGAGAAAUCGUAACUAAUACACGAUAUCCCUACGGGGGAAAGAUUUAUCGCUCAUGGAAUGGCCUGCUUCGUAUCAGCUAGUUGGUGGGGUAAAGGCCCACCAAGGCUACGACGCGUAGGGGAGGUGAGAGCCUGACCCCCACCAUUGGAACUGCGACACGGUCCAA